GAGCUUUGCUUUUCCUCCAAGUUCCUGUUUCCUGCCAAGAAGCUCCUGCUUACAGCCCUAUAAAAACCCCUGAGUUUAGAAGCUUGGCACCCUUCUCUCUGAGCAGAGUUGGGUCACGACUGGCAUGAAUAAAAUUUCGUCCUUCUAGACUUGCAUUUUCUCAUCUGGUCAAUAUAACAUUUGCAGGCUCCAGCAAGAUCUCUUGGAGGACACUGCUGCAGCGCCAAUCAGAGCAGCCCUGACUCGGGCUGCCACCCUGAAGAGGUUCUGGGGCCCUUGUCUUGUGUGCUCUUGGUGGCUGACUUGGCAGCUGUCUGACCGGAACAAGGGACUGAAUUUUAUUCAUGGGAAAAGCCUUGCAAGGUGGCUUUUCCUGAAAGGCACAGCCUUUUCGGGAGUGGAAGCUGCCAUUCCAGUGUCAGUGGUUCCCUGUGCCACCUCCACUAUGCUGGCUCAUGCCAUCAUGACACCUAGAAGAGCUGUGCCAACCAGCAUGGAUUUGCCAUCUUCCCUGGACUAG
rnacentral:lncRNA from 1 species